GUCGCGUGAUUCCCCCUCCCUGUGCUACAGAUGGGGCCCAGCAAGCAGGCGGGCCCGGCAUGUGGCUCUGGGGAUGGGCUGCUGACGCUUCCUCCACACUAAGGCUCGUGCGGCUCGGAGGGGCCCUGUGCGCGUGUGUGCGUGUAUGUGUCGUCCGUGUGCACGCCUGCUAUUUACGCCCUUUGCCGGUUGUGCGGAGAGCGCUGUUUUAACGGUAGUAGACGCGGCCUGGGUGGUGGCACGACCCGGCUGGUGCCGUCACACAUAAGUGGGGGGCACACGGCGUCCGAAGGUGUAGUUUUCUGCUACCGAUGAAGCGAAUACGAUGUGCGUUUUAUCUUUCGGGUUCUAGCCGUGUUCUUCCUGUGUUUUGUGCCGGUGAGCACAGCCUGACGGCGAACAGGAGAUUCCUGUGUCCUAAACAGGGGUAUCAAUCAUGUUCUCGAACGCGAAGGGACAUUUUCAAUUUGCCAGCGUGUGAUACCCCACGACUUCACAAAGUCUCCCAGCCCUCAGAGUGAGUGGCAUUUAAUACCAGACAACAUCGCAGGGGUGAGGGCUGGCUCUGGCCUAUUCAAAUGCCACUGCCACCACGCAGACUCGCCCAGCGCCGUUAUAAUUAAAGACUUUAUGCCUCUCUUGCAAA